GGGCAAUGACAGUUAGCUACGGUGUAAGAAUGCCGACGAGCGGUCUUAUUUUAUUGAUUGACGACGACCCGGCGUAGUAGAGGUUAAUGACGGCAUGUGUAGCCCGGUGUGCAUAGAAAGCUCGAUGUAUAAAGUGCCUUAACUAGGAGAGAGAGAAAGAGAAAAUAAAAGUAAGAGAAUCUAAACCCACCUUUCUAUUUGGCUCUUUUUUUUAUUCAAGUUUUCUUUUCUCUCUUUUUUUUUGUGAGUAGAAUCUCCCUCCAUAUUUUUUUGUUCACUUCUCUUUAUAUAGAUAGAGGGUGGUAAAGGUUUAUGGUGAAGAGAAGAGUAAAUAGUGGAGAAGUGGAGGGAAUGACGGAGAAGUGGAAGGAGUGAUGGAGAAGUGGAGGGAAUAGAGGAAAAGUGGAGGGAAUAGUGGAGAAAGUGGAGGGAGUGAUGGAGAAGUGGAGGGAAUAGAGGGAAGUGGAGAGGGUGAUGGAGAAGUGGAGGGAAUGGAAGAAAAGUGGAGGGCAUGGUGGAGAAGUGGAGGGAAUGGAGGGAAAGUGGAGGAAAUGGUGAAGAAAGUGGAUGGAGUGAUGGAGAAGUGGAGUAAAUAAUGGAGAAAGUGGAGGGAGUGAUGGAGAAGUGAACUUUUAUUUUUAUUUUUAUUUUUAUUUUUAUUUUUCUAACAUUUGGAUUUUAAGCUGAUCCAAAUAUAAAAAAAAGGACUUAUAGUUUGUGAAUUUAAUUAUUAGAUUAAGAUUCUAAUUUUUUUUUUCAAAUUUCACCCAGUAAUAGAGUUAACAAUCUAACUUAUUGUUCGCGAGCCAGCUAAUGUUCAGCUCGUUAAUAAACAAACCAAGUGCAAGCUAGAUUUUUGAACUUGGUAUUUUAACAAAUUCGAUUCAUUUAAUAAACCAACGAACACGAACUAGUCCCAGCUCACUGGUGUUCAGGUUGUUUACAACCCUAGUCCUAAACAUACAGCGAUAUUGCUCAACGCAUCAAAAUUUUGCAUACGGAACUGUAGAGAAUUCAAACCCAUAGCUGAUAGUUUCGUGGAAAGGGGGUGGUCUCAAACAUUUUGUUUAUAUUUUCCACCGGUCUUUGCGAGAUAAGGAGGAAAUCUAUUAUGUAGUAGUCACACCAUAUUAUCUAUAAUCAGUUAAUUCUAUCUUUUUUUAAAAAAAAUAAAAAUAUAAUAAAAAUAUUGUUUAAAAAAUUAUAAUAAAAUAGAUAAAUUUUAAAUAUAAUAUGAUUGAUUGAAA
rnacentral:lncRNA from 1 species